AGGCGGUCCCUCAGAUGGUUUCG
rnacentral:miRNA from 10 species